GACGAACGCUGGCGGCGUGCUUAACACAUGCAAGUCGAACGGUGAAGUCCCAGCUUGCUGGGAUGGAUCAGUGGCGAACGGGUGAGUAACACGUGAGCAACCUGCCCUCCACUUCGGGAUAAGCCUUGGAAACGGGGUCUAAUACCGGAUAUGAGCCUGCAUCGCAUGGUGUGGGUUGGAAAGUUUUUCGGUGGGGGAUGGGCUCGCGGCCUAUCAGCUUGUUGGUGGGGUGAUGGCCUACCAAGGCGUCGACGGGUAGCCGGCCUGAGAGGGCGACCGGCCACACUGGGACUGAGACACGGCCCAGACUCCUACGGGAGGCAGCAGUGGGGAAUAUUGCACAAUGGGCGCAAGCCUGAUGCAGCGACGCCGCGUGAGGGAUGACGGCCUUCGGGUUGUAAACCUCUUUCAGCUGGGAAGAAAAUGACGGUACCAGCAGAAGAAGCCCCGGCUAACUACGUGCCAGCAGCCGCAGUAAAC
rnacentral:rRNA from 1 species